rnacentral:rRNA from 1 species
UACGUAGGGUGCAAGCGUUGUCCGGAAUUAUUGGGCGUAAAGAGCUCGUAGGCGGUCUGUCACGUCGGCUGUGAAAACCCGAGGCUCAACCUCGGGCCUGCAGUCGAUACGGGCAGACUAGAGUUCGGUAGGGGAGUCUGGAAUUCCUGGUGUAGCGGUGAAAUGCGCAGAUAUCAGGAGGAACACCGGUGGCGAAGGCGGGACUCUGGGCCGAUACUGACGCUGAGGAGCGAAAGCGUGGGGAGCAAACAGG